AAUGAAGCCAGGGAUCACACCCACAUCACCAUGGAUACUAGUCGUGUUUAUUUCCUCUGAGCUGCAACAAGAACUCCCCAGAAACACAAUUUUCCAUUGAGUACCAGCUAUCUUUUCUCUUUCAAAAGCAGUUCCUUGGACCUUCUACCACGUAACUCUUCCUGUCUCUCUCCUCUUUCCUCCCCUCUCCCUUUUGCAAGGUACAACUCACUGAUUUUUUAUACACACAGGUUGUACAACAGAAUAUCUCCAUCUCUCCCCCGAAGCUCUUCCGCCCGCCCACUUCCAUUUCUAUCUCCUCCCUUUCCGGCCUCAGAAGAGGUGCCCUCGACGGAUGAGGGGAUGAGGGAACUCCAGCUCCUCGGAGACGUUGCUCCUGUGUUUCUGUCACCACCUCCUGCCCACCCACCCAGCAUGAGCAACCUGCGGGACUACUGAGCUCAUGAAUAAACCUGAAAAGGAUGCGAGGCUGGAGAUGGGAAGAGGUGGCUGAGAAUGAAUCAGCGGGCCUGGCUUUUUCCAGCACUUGUCACUACAACCCUGGGAUUAGUUCACCACUCAGCAUGAGGACUCGGGGCUGGACCAUGUGUGACGUGACACUGAACAAUUCCCAUCCGAGGCAACAGAGCAGGAAUGCUGCCUGGCCCACCGUGCAACAAAAAUGUAUGAAAUGGCAUUAGCAGAAAAACAAGAUUUCUGGGUCUUAUCACAGAAAGGCUUUUUUCCCCUCCUAGAUGAAUGUUCACCUCUAAUUGAACAACUGUAACUCCCUUUAUUUCUACCUGAAAGUGGCUUUUACAACUCAUAAUUAGGGGCAGGAUCUUUAUAAUCCCAUCAUGAUGGAAUGUCUUUUUAGCGCCUGAUUGCUGUUCAUUUACAGGAUAUUUUUUUUUUUCCGGUGAUUAAUUGGACCACAAUCCAUUUACAUGUCCUGAACAUGCAUUUUAAGUCUAUACAGAAAGAACUCCGUUUACCCACUUUCUAAAACACGUUCUAGAAGGCUGGCAUCCACCAUCCUUAUAAACCUAACACUACAUGAGACCUGAUUUAUACUCGAGAGGGAAAUCACAGCAGGGAACAUAGCUAAAACCCAAUCAGGCAUUCUCUAAACUAAUAUACGUUGUUUUUAAGAGAGAAAGAAAUUACACAGUAUCAUAAUUUCCAAAAGUUGACACCUCUUCAUUAAAACAGAUAGAGUAGAAAAGUUCUACAAGAGCUCAAAUUUCGAGUUUUCCCCAAGAGAACAGUGGGUUUCAGGGAGGUGGGGAUUAUAUUAUGAUUAUAUUUAUAUUAUAUUAUAUUAUGAUUAUACUUCUGAUUAUCUUCACAGUCGGGCUGGAGGUGUGGGGAGGCUUAUGGGUUAAUUUGCUUAAAAUUCCUGACUGAUUGUAUGGGGAGACCAUUAUCUAUCCUCCUCACAGGCUGUUAGAUUUGGAAGACCGUAAAUGCUACGGAUCCUGCAAUUCAUUUAACAGCUACGCGUCUUAGCUCUUUCCUGUGCUAAGCUCAGGUGGAAAAUUAUCAAAUGAUACAAAAUAGCAAUAUAAACAUCUUUUUCCAUCUAAAUAGAUAUUUGAGUUUUGUAUACUCUGCUUUUUUUAGAUUGCUGUGGACUUUCACAACAGGCUUAGAUCAGCCUUCCAUAUGGAAUUAGCCUUAUGUUCCACACAAAGAUUUUAUAAUGUCUUUUCAUUCAAUUCUUAUGCAUAUGGACACUAACCAGGCAAAUUAGUCCUGAGGCUAACCUGGUACUAUUGAACCUUAGCUCUCUAGUUUUCCUUCACAGUUACUCUCAGGCACCCCACAAACUCCUCCAAUCUCUGGAUAAUUUCAGGGCUCCAGGAGCCUUUAAAAAAUAGGUUGAUAACCUAGCAGGACUUCCAACUGUCAAAUCCUUCAAAUUUCUU